AACUUUGUCCAAAAGUAUCCAUCACAAUAGACAGUGCAUCGGUACAUCUGGACAGGCACCUUGGAACUUCAGGGCAGUUUUUGCUUUGAGUCCUUCUGGAGCCUCUCCUGAACGCUGUUGUAAAUGAAUGCGAUAGAUGAUGGAAAGAUUGACUGAAUCCAUUAAGAACCUGUCUGGAUCGAGAGAUCUGAAAGAGAGGUGUCAGAGGGCUCAAACAUUA
rnacentral:snoRNA from 1 species